ensembl:lncRNA
ACGAGUUUAAAGUAUGUAUUGUAUGUUGUGUUUUCAGGUUACAAUUUAACAGAUUAUGUCCUGGCAGAAAAUUACCAGUACCUUUUCAUUUUUAUACACAUUGUUAAACUGAUCAACAAGGUUUGUUAUCAUAAAUGAACAAGUAUUAUUACAAUUAAUUAAGUAGAACUUAAUUGACAUGAUGUGUGUCCUGCUAGACACCUUUGGUUUCCUCUUUUUGUGUAAUUUAGACGGAAAAUGUGUGCCUUUUUAUCAUUCCAGUCACAGAUGCUAAAAGUUGACAAAUACAUUUAAAAAAUAGCUACAUUUGUUGCUUUUGGAAGAAAGGGUUGUUUUCUGAAAAGUAGCUCAAUCUAGCAACAGAAUUGCUAAUUUGUUUCCCUGCAGCACAGAAGCAGUCAUCAGUAGCACAGGUAUAUUUGUAGCAAUAGACAACAAUACAUUGUAUGGGUCACAAUUAUACAUUUCUCUUUUAUGAUAAAAAUCAUUAGGAUAUUAAGUAAAGAUCAUGUUUCAUGAAGAUAUUUAGUAAAUUUUCUACUGUAAAUAUACUAAAACUUAGUUUUUGAUUAGUAAUAUGCAUUGCUAAGAACUUCAUUUGAACAACUUUAAAGAUGAUUUUCUCAAUAUUUAGAUUUUUUUUGCACCCUCAGAUUCCAGAUUUUCAAAUAUUGUCCUCCUAACAAACCAUACAUCAAUGGAGAGAUUAUUUAUUCAGCUUUCAGAUGAUGUAUUAAUCUCAGUUUCAAAAAAGUGUCCCUUAUGACUGGUUUUGUGCUGCAGGGUUACAGUUUAGCAACUUUUCAGACAGGCAUCACGUGAAGCGCCGGUGUGUUGCCUUGGUGACGGUGGCGCGCGCGAGCGAGCGAGCGAGAGAGAGAGAGAGAGAGAGAGAGAGAGAGAGAGAGAGAGAGAGAGAGAGAGAGAGAUCGGUGUAACGGAAUCCGUCGCUCUCUGAUGUUUGAAGAAAUCGCCGACUUUCUUUCGCGGGAGCGUCCGGUUGAGGAGCGCGCGACCAGUUUCUGCUUCUGCUUGACCACCCACUCAGACGUCUGCUGUUCUCCAUCAUGUGACCCGAGGAAACCAGCGAGUGGCCUCUUCAUCUGAUUGAUCUUCAGCUGCACACAAGCGCCGCUGAUCAUUACAGUCAGUGUGCAGUACACAGCCAUAACCACGCUGCACCAUCACAUGACCAUCACAUGACCAUCACAUGACCAUCACAUGACCUCAGUUAAUUCAGUGAGGCGCGUCCAGUGAUUCUCUCAAAUAGAUCAUUAAAGCACAUCGUUUCAAAACGGCUUUACAAAAAAUAUUUUAAAAUUAAAACAACGCAGAAUUUCUCAAAAAGAAAAAAACAAAAACAUUUCAUGGAGAUCUUUUAUUGUAAAACAAUUAGCCUAAUAAAUUAAAUUAUUAAAGUUUUAAAGUUUCA